AUUGAACGCUAGCGGGAUGCUUUACACAUGCAAGUCGAACGAGUGGCGGACGGGUGAGUAAUAUAUCGGAACGUGCCCAGUAGCGGGGGAUAACUACUCGAAAGAGUGGCUAAUACCGCAUACCAUCGGAUGUGCCCAGAUGGGAGUAGCUAGUAGGGGGGGUAAAGGCUCACCUAGGCGACGCUCCCUAGCUGGUCUGAGAGGUGGACCAGCCACAGUGGAACUGAGACACGGUCCAGACUCCUACGGGAGGCAGCAGUGGGGAAUAUUGCGCAAUGGGCGAAAGCCUGAUACAGCCAUGCCGCGUGUGUGAAGAAGGCCUUCGGGUUGUAAAGUACUUUCAGCGGGGAGGCGUUACCCGCAGAGGAAGCAACGGCUAACUCCGUGCCAGCAGCCGCGGUAAUAC
rnacentral:rRNA from 1 species